rnacentral:rRNA from 1 species
UUUGAAGAGAGAGUUCAAGAGUACGUGAAACUGCUCAGAGGCAAACGGGUGGGUCCUCGAAGUCCUGUGGCGGAUGGAUUCAGCCGCGUUCCGCUACUCUCGCGUCGGAGCACCGCAUACUUCUCCCCCGAGGGUCGAUGACGGAGCACCGGGAUGUCGGGAAGCGGCGUGGCGCAUUUCCAAUUGUUCCGCCCGAAGGACCCCGCGACCGGUUGGUGGACGGCCUUGAGGGGCGGCGAUGGCGGGUCGCCGGCGGCGGACGAGUUCCGCUGCCGGAGUGUUGGCCGCUCGCCCCAGGAGCUGCUCGUCUGCACCGACCGUGGCGUCACGAGGCCUGUUACAUGGGCUUCUCCGCCUCCUCCGAAAAAAAACAGCAAGGACACACGGGCGCUGCGGCCAGGGCGCCGGCACGAUAACAGGACGAGGGCGCCCCACGAUCGGGGCGACGACGCCUGCGCCGGUCUGCCCGCUGGGCCUCGGAAUUAGCUGCGCCCGCUGUUGGGGGCUGGCGGUCCGCGGGGAGUAGGUCGGUCACCCACCCGUCCC